rnacentral:tRNA from 1 species
UAACACGAAGCAAUAUUAGCAAUACGAUUUCGGCUCGUAAACUGGCGACUACUCGCCCGUGUUAG